AUUGAACGCUGGCGGCAUGCCUUACACAUGCAAGUCGAACGGCAGCGGGGACUUCGGUCCGCCGGCGAGUGGCGAACGGGUGAGUAAUGCAUCGGAACGUACCCGGAAGUGGGGGAUAACGUAGCGAAAGUUACGCUAAUACCGCAUAUUCUGUGGGCAGGAAAGAGGGGGAUCUUCGGACCUCUUGCUUUCGGAGCGGCCGAUGUCAGAUUAGCUAGUUGGUGAGGUAAAGGCUCACCAAGGCGACGAUCUGUAGCGGGUCUGAGAGGAUGAACCGCCGCACUGGAACUGAGAAACGGACCAGACUCCUACGGGAAGCAGCAGUGGGGAAUUUUGGACAAUGGGCGCAAGCCUGAUCCAGCCAUGCCGCGUGAGUGAAGAAGGCAUUCGGGUUGUAAAGCUCUUUCGGCCGGGAAGAAAUCGCAUGGAUUAAUACUCUGUGCGGAUGACGGUACCGGCAUAAGAAGCACCGGCUAACUACGUGCCAGCAGCCGCGGUAA
rnacentral:rRNA from 1 species